rnacentral:rRNA from 1 species
UACGUAGGGGCAAGCGUUGUCCGGAUUUAUUGGCGUAAAGAGCGUGUAGGCGGCCAUUCAGGUCAGCUGUGAAACUCGAGGCUCAACCUCGAGACGUCGGUUGAAACCGUUUGGCUAGAGUCCGGAAGAGGAGAGUGGAAUUCCCGGUGUAGCGGUGAAAUGCGCAGAUAUCGGGAAGAACACCCGUGGCGAAGGCGGCUCUCUGGGACGGUACUGACGCUGAGGAGCGAAAGCGUGGGGAGCGAACAGG